rnacentral:ncRNA from 1 species
AAAGCAUCUAAGCGCGAAGCCCCCCUCAAGAUGAGAUUUCCCAGUAUGUAAGACCCCUUGUAGACGACGAGGUUGAUAGGUUCGGGGUGGAAGCACGGUAACGUGUGCAGCUGACGAAUACUAAUCGGUCGAGGGCUUAUCCAA